rnacentral:rRNA from 1 species
CACGUAGGGCGCGAGCGUUGUCCGGAAUUAUUGGGCGUAAAGAGCUCGUAGGCGGCCUGUUGCGUCCGCUGUGAAAGCCCGGGGCUUAACCCCGGGUCGGCAGUGGAUACGGGCAGGCUAGAGGUAGGUAGGGGAGAAUGGAAUUCCCGGUGUAGCGGUGAAAUGCGCAGAUAUCGGGAGGAACACCGGUGGCGAAGGCGGUUCUCUGGGCCUUACCUGACGCUGAGGAGCGAAAUGC